AGUGGCGGACGGGUGAGUAACGCGUGAGAAUCUGCCUUCAGGAUGGGGACAACAGUUGGAAACGACUGCUAAUACCCGAUGUGCCGAGAGGUGAAAAUUUUUUGCCUGAAGAGGAGCUCGCGUCUGAUUAGCUAGUUGGUGGGGUAAAAGCUUACCAAGGCAACGAUCAGUAGCUGGUCUGAGAGGAUGAGCAGCCACACUGGGACUGAGACACGGCCCAGACUCCUACGGGAGGCAGCAGUGGGGAAUUUUCCGCAAUGGGCGAAAGCCUGACGGAGCAAUACCGCGUGAGGGAGGAAGGCCUUUGGGUUGUAAACCUCUUUUCUCAGGGAAGAAGAUCUGACGGUACCUGAGGAAUAAGCAUCGGCUAACUCCGUGCCAGCAGCCGCGGUAAUACGGAGGAUGCAAGCGUUAUCCGGAAUUAUUGGGCGUAAAGCGUCCGCAGGUGGUUUUUCAAGUCUGCUGUCAAAGACCAGAGCUCAACUCUGGGCCGGCGGUGGAAACUGGGAAACUAGAGUUCGGUAGGGGUAGCGGGAAUUCCCAGUGUAGCGGUGAAAUGCGUAGAUAUUGGGAAGAACAUCGGUGGCGAAGGCGCGCUACUGGACCGAAACUGACACUCAGGGACAAAAGCUAGGGGAGCGAAAGGGAUUAGAUACCCC
rnacentral:rRNA from 1 species